CAGGGCUGACUAUUAGUUUUGUUGAUUCUUUUUCUUCNNNNNNNNNNCAUGCAACCCUCUCCCUGGCGAGGGGAGCGCGGGUGCGAGCCGCGGAAGCCAGCCCGCGCUGCAGGGAGCCCGCGGGCGAAGGAGGCUCUCCCGCUCCGAGCCUACCUCCGGGCGGUCACCACGCGCCGGGCCCCGCCCCGAGAGCGUGUCACCGCGGGUGACGGCCCGGCGGCCAAUCAGCGGGCGUCCUCGCCCGGCGCGCGGGCCAAUCGGGGAGCUCCUCUCAGGGUGGAGGCGGGAGCAAUGUUUUCGGAGAGGAGGGAGGACGGCGGGCCUGCAGGUCGGGGCGGACGGUCCUCCCCCCACCCCCGGAGGCUGCGGGGCGGCGGGGCUGCGGGCUGCGGGCUGCGGUCGCGAGCAACCGGCCCGGGGGGAGGGCGGGUGGGGUGCGCAGAGGGUGGGCGCCGUGAGCGAGCGAGCAGGCGGGCGGGGGCCGCUCGGGGCUGGGAGCCAUCGCCCUCUCCCCGCAGAGGGGCUCCCCUGGGGCCCGGUGGGCGCUCCGGCGGGGGGCACACCUGGCCUCGCCCCGACUCGGCUGCCCGGCCGGAGGGAGCGGACCGGACCGCCUUCCCGAAGCUCGUGCCCCCUCCGCAGAGGAAAAACACCAGGAGGCGUUUCAGCCCGGAUACAGAGAGACCGUAGACCUCUUCCCUUUGGACCCUAUGAACACCUACAGCUGGACUUCAUCAACUGCCACUUGAUAUGGGCUGUCAAUAUGUCCCUGUUCUGUUUGUAUGUUUUUCUAGAUGGGUUGAAGCUGUUCCCCACAGCAAGUCUGCUGCCUUUACAAUGGAAAAAAAAUAUGUUUAAAAAUGUACUUCCCAUUUGGGGUACACCUUCUAUAAUCUCUAAUGAUUGGGGCACCCACUUCACUGGGCAAAUCACAUGAGCCUUAAUAAAAGCCUUAAAACUUCUUAAAAUUCUAGCA
rnacentral:lncRNA from 12 species